rnacentral:lncRNA from 1 species
GGAAUAUAUUCUUAAUUAUCAUUUUUAUUAAUAAGUAGCUAAUGGCUUAAUUAAUUUAAUGCAGGGAUGUGGAGCUAUAGCACACAGAGUUUUAUCUAAUUCCACAUUCUCAAACUUGGUUGGUCCACUGGAAGAAGUUAGUUUUUAUGGCCACCCAGUUGCUUACAUUGCUCCUAAUGUUUAUGGCUACCCUCAUGGAGGUUUCCUUGCCUCCAAAUCUUCCAACUAAAUCCAAUCAAUUUGAAGACAGUGGUCCUAAUUUGACCAUAUGGUAAACACAAUUGGGAUUCGAACACAUGAUUUCUGGUGUCUGUUUAUUGGGUUCUCUUUUUCUUUUUCUUUUUUUGUUGUUGCAGGCAUUGCAUAUGCAUUUUCGAAGCUAUGUUGACAAAAUGACUAUUUGCUUAGGCGUUGACCCCAGAUGCAAUACCUGAUCCUUAUAAAUUGUUGGAUGAUUUUGAAGAAUCACUCAAACUCAUCCGUGAUGCUGUUGUUGUAGAAAAAGGGCUCACCAUGGAAGCUGCUGUCUAGCUCCACGUAAGGAUACCAUCCUCAAAGGUAAUGUAUG